rnacentral:piRNA from 1 species
UGCACAAGUCCUGGGGCUGGUGAGGCGCGU